GACUUCUUCUGGCAAAGCCGGAAGUGCUGGGCCAACAGCUCCAAAAGCUCCCAGCUGGCAAGGUGCUGUGAAAAUCAGUUCGCCCAGAUCCUUCUGACCGCAGUCAGGUCGAGCCCCUGAGCUCCUUCAAAGGUGGGAACCAAGGCCUCCCCAGCACCCGGGACCUCCGAACAGCAGACAUCGCCUGAGGCCCUGGGAAGUGCGGGUGGCUGGGACGACCCCGGGCGGCUUCCUUCCGGGAUAGGGGAGAACGGCAAAGCCAGCAUCAGAAGGCAGGAAACAACUAUGGACUGAAGCGCACACUCCAGGUUCCUCAGCAGAAUAAAGCCUGCGACCCAAAUUGAUGAGCUCCAGGACGACAGGACCCUGUGUUUGCCCUGCAAGUGUGAAGUGUGGCGUGUGCUCGGGGCUGUGUUUCUGGGACGCUGAGUUGAACUGGUGUCUGUGGCCCUUCCUGAGAGAGCUGCAUCUCAGAGGACGCAUGGUAAUGACAAAGUUGGCUGUACUAAAUGGAGCCAGGAGGGAGGCCAGGGGGCAGUGCUAUGACCAGGAGGAAAUGAAAUCCUGGCCUGAUGUGGUGAUGCACACCUGUCAUGCCAGCACUUUGGAGGCUGAGGCAGGAGAAUCCUGAAUUCAAGGUCAGCCUGAACUACAUAAUGAGAUCCUCACUCCCAAAACCAAAACCCAAACAUAGCAAAAUCAAACAGCCCAACAUUUAUCACUUGCACUGCCCAAUUAUCUGAUGAAGAAGACACUGUGAUAAACCCAUUUACAAGUGAAGAAACAGAAGCUCAGAGAGGUUGAGAAAUUUGCCUAAGAUCACACAGCAUGGACCAGACCAGCUGGAACUCCGGUCCAGCUCUGCCUAGCCCUGAAGCCCAGCCUUGAGGAAGACCUAAACUCAACCAUGGCUUCCUCAAGGCUGAACAUGUGGGCGAUCCUCAUUGUCUUUUAGCACUUCCUGCCUGUAACAAGAAAAAAAUCAAAAUAUAUUUAAAUUCUCCCUAAAUAGAACUCUUUUUGUUAGGAGGAAACGCUGGAGAGGAAGAGCCCUGUGUGGUCUGGGUCUCUACAGAAGAUGAACUCUAUAAUUACAGCAGGAGCUGAGGUCUGUCAGCCAGGGAAGUCCUAGGACAAGCUCCAAGGAUGUGACACUGACCAACUCCCUGUUCUGCCGCUGAGGCCCAGGGCCAGGUGGAGGGAGGAGAAACGGAGGUUUGGGGUGUCACACUGGAGGUUGCUUAUCCUACUCUCUUCCCUCGAAAGGAAACCAGCGGUCUCCUGCCCACCCAUGGGACCCCUCAGGGCUAAAUGUUUGUUCUCUGCCUCUGAUGGUAAGACUAGGACCUCAGUAGAAAUGGGGUGAGCUUUACAGGCAGGGAACGGGUUAAAGGAAUCAUGGUCUAAAUUACAGAAAACAAGACCUAAAAAGGAAGAGAGCGAGGUGGAGAAAGUGUCAAGAUCUAUUGCAAGGGGCGAGCCGUAGAUCUGCACUGCUGGUACCCUCCUCCUUGAGGAGGCCUCUGGUAUCUGUGAAGGUGAUCUUCAUUGGAAAUAGGAUCUUUGUGGAAUUAAAGAGUUUUCUGUUUUGUUC